CUGAAACAUCUUAGUACCCGGAGGAAGAGAAAGAAAAAUCGAUUCCCUGAGUAGCGGCGAGCGAAACGGGAAGAGCCCAAACCAACAAGCUUGCUUGUUGGGGUUGUAGGACACUCUAUACGGAGUUACAAAAGAACAUGUUAGACGAAUCAUCUGGAAAGAUGAAUCAAAGAAGGUAAUAAUCCUGUAGUCGAAAACAUAUUCUCUCUUGAGUGGAUCCUGAGUACGACGGAGCACGUGAAAUUCCGUCGGAAUCUGGGAGGACCAUCUCCUAAGGCUAAAUACUCUCUAGUGACCGAUAGUGAACCAGUACCGUGAGGGAAAGGUGAAAAGUACCCCGGAAGGGGAGUGAAAGAGAACUUGAAACCGUGUGCUUACAAGUAGUCAGAGCCCGUUAAUGGGUGAUGGCGUGCCUUUUGUAGAAUGAACCGGCGAGUUACGAUCUGAUGCAAGGUUAAGCAGCAAAUGUGGAGCCGCAGCGAAAGCGAGUCUGAAUAGGGCGUUGAGUAUUUGGUCGUAGACCCGAAACCAGGUGAUCUACCCUUGGUCAGGUUGAAGUUCAGGUAACACUGAAUGGAGGACCGAACCGACUUACGUUGAAAAGUGAGCGGAUGAACUGAGGGUAGCGGAGAAAUUCCAAUCGAACUUGGAGAUAGCUGGUUCUCUCCGAAAUAGCUUUAGGGCUAGCCUCAAGUGAUGAUUAUUGGAGGUAGAGCACUGUUUGGACGAGGGGCCCCUCUCGGGUUACCGAAUUCAGACAAACUCCGAAUGCCAAUUAAUUUAACUUGGGAGUCAGAACAUGGGUGAUAAGGUCCGUGUUCGAAAGGGAAACAGCCCAGACCACCAGCUAAGGUCCCAAAAUAUAUGUUAAGUGGAAAAGGAUGUGGCGUUGCCCAGACAACUAGGAUGUUGGCUUAGAAGCAGCCAUCAUUUAAAGAGUGCGUAAUAGCUCACUAGUCGAGUGACACUGCGCCGAAAAUGUACCGGGGCUAAACAUAUUACCGAAGCUGUGGAUUGUCCUUUGGACAAUGGUAGGAGAGCGUUCUAAGGGCGUCGAAGCAUGAUCGCAAGGACAUGUGGAGCGCUUAGAAGUGAGAAUGCCGGUGUGAGUAGCGAAAGACGGGUGAGAAUCCCGUCCACCGAUUGACUAAGGUUUCCAGAGGAAGGCUCGUCCGCUCUGGGUUAGUCGGGUCCUAAGCUGAGGCCGACAGGCGUAGGCGAUGGAUAACAGGUUGAUAUUCCUGUACCACCUAGUAUCGUUUUAAUCGAUGGGGGGACGCAGUAGGAUAGGCGAAGCGUGCUGUUGGAGUGCACGUCCAAGCAGUAAGGCUGAGUGUUAGGCAAAUCCGGCACUCAUAAGGCUGAGCUGUGAUGGGGAGAGGAAAUUGUUUCCUCGAGUCGUUGAUUUCACACUGCCGAGAAAAGCCUCUAGAUAGAUAACAGGUGCCCGUACCGCAAACCGACACAGGUAGUCAAGAUGAGAAUUCUAAGGUGAGCGAGCGAACUCUCGUUAAGGAACUCGGCAAAAUGACCCCGUAACUUCGGGAGAAGGGGUGCUCUUUAGGGUUCACGCCCAGAAGAGCCGCAGUGAAUAGGCCCAAGCGACUGUUUAUCAAAAACACAGGUCUCUGCUAAACCGUAAGGUGAUGUAUAGGGGCUGACGCCUGCCCGGUGCUGGAAGGUUAAGAGGAGUGGUUAGCUUCUGCGAAGCUACGAAUCGAAGCCCC
rnacentral:rRNA from 1 species